rnacentral:rRNA from 1 species
GACGAACGCUGGCGGCGUGCUUAACACAUGCAAGUCGAACGGUAAGGCCCUUCGGGGUACACGAGUGGCGAACGGGUGAGUAACACGUGGGUGAUCUGCCCUGCACUUCGGGAUAAGCCUGGGAAACUGGGUCUAAUACCGGAUAGGACCCUGGGAUGCAUGUCCUGGGGUGGAAAGCUUUUGCGGUGUGAGAUGGGCCCGCGGCCUAUCAGCUUGUUGGUGGGGUGGUGGCCUACCAAGGCGACGACGGGUAGCCGGCCUGAGAGGGUGACCGGCCACAAUGGGACUGAGAUACGGCCCAGACUCCUACGGGAGGCAGCAGUGGGGAAUAUUGCACAAUGGGCGCAAGCCUGAUGCAGCGACGCCGCGUGAGGGAUGACGGCCUUCGGGUUGUAAACCUCUUUCAGCACCGACGAAGCGCAAGUGACGGUAGGUGCAGAAGAAGGACCGGCCAACUACGUGCCAGCCGCCGCCGUAA